ACUGUGUUACCUUUUAUACCUUGCGGCCUUUAGACUGUGGUGCCUUUAAAAUUGAUUUUUUUGCUCCUGGUUUCCUUUUAAACUUCCUUGCAGGCACUUUUGUUAUCUAUGUUGCUUCCCCUCGGUCCCAGUGAUUUAUUCCUGGUUCCCUGGGUGUUUAGGGGCCAUGUAGGCUUCAGACAGAGUCCUCUCCCUGGUCUCUAACAGCAAACACACUCGGAAUAG